UAACUGCGCAGAUGUUGACGAAUGCCAAAUAUCUUCCCCAUGUCAUUCCAAUGCUACGUGCAAUAACACAGAUGGAUCUUAUUUUUGUACAUGUUAUUCUGGUUAUUCUGGGGAUGGAUUUAAUUGCACAGAUAUCAAUGAAUGUGAAACAAAUCCUUGUGAUGCAAAUGCA